GAUGAACGCUGGCGGCGUGCCUAAUACAUGCAAGUCGAGCGAACGGACGAGGAGCUUGCUUCGCUGAUGUUAGCGGCGGACGGGUGAGGAACACGUGGAUAACCUACCGAUAAGACUGGGAUAACUUCGGGAAACCGGAGCUAAUACCGGAUAAUAUUUUGAACCGCAUGGUUCAAAAGUGAAAGACGGUCUUGCUGUCACUUAUAGAUGGAUCCUCGCUGCAUUAGCUAGUUGGUAAGGUAACGGCUUACCAAGGCAACGAUGCAUAGCCGACCUGAGAGGGUGAUCGGCCACACUGGAACUGAGACACGGUCCAGACUCCUACGGGAGGCAGCAGUAGGGAAUAUUCCGCAAUGGGCGAAAGCCUGACGGAGCAACGCCGCGUGAGUGAUGAAGGUCUUCGGAUCGUAAAACUCUGUUAUUAGGGAAGAACAUAUGUGUAAGUAACUGUGCACAUCUUGACGGUACCUAAUCAGAAAGCCACGGCUAACUACGUG
rnacentral:rRNA from 1 species